rnacentral:rRNA from 1 species
GACGAACGCUGGCGGCGUGCUUAACACAUGCAAGUCGAACGGAAAGGCCCUGCUUUUGUGGGGUGCUCGAGUGGCGAACGGGUGAGUAACACGUGAGUAACCUGCCCUUGACUUUGGGAUAACUUCAGGAAACUGGGGCUAAUACCGGAUAGGAGCUCCUGCUGCAUGGUGGGGGUUGGAAAGUUUCGGCGGUUGGGGAUGGACUCGCGGCUUAUCAGCUUGUUGGUGGGGUAGUGGCUUACCAAGGCUUUGACGGGUAGCCGGCCUGAGAGGGUGACCGGCCACAUUGGGACUGAGAUACGGCCCAGACCCCUACGGGAGGCAGCAGUGGGGAAUAUUGCACAAUGGGCGGAAGCCUGAUGCAGCAACGCCGCGUGCGGGAUGACGGCCUUCGGGUUGUAAACCGCUUUCGCCUGCGACGAAGCGUGAGUGACGGUAAUGGGUAAAGAAGCACCGGCUAACUACGUG